rnacentral:rRNA from 1 species
GACAGAGGGUGCAAACGUUGCUCGGAAUCACUGGGCGUAAAGGGCGUGUAGGCGGGAAGAUAAGUCGGGCGUGAAAUCCCUGGGCUCAACCCAGGAACUGCACUCGAAAUUGUCUUCCUCGAGUACCGGAGAGGAAAGCGGAAUACCUGGUGUAGAGGUGAAAUUCGUAGAUAUCAGGUGGAACACCAGUGGCGAAGGCGGCUUUCUGGACGGUAACUGACGCUGAGACGCGAAAGCGUGGGGAGCAAACAGG